AGAGCGCGAGGCCAAGUUUGCAUCCUGAGAGCUGGUCCGCCCCGCCCCGCUCCUCCCGGUUCACUGCUGGAUCCAACGCCCUCCCCUGCAGGGUCUGCUAAACCCUCCCGGGCCUCGGGCGGGGUGCCCUCAGAAAGCCCCCCUCCGGGCCCCUCCGUGCCAGCCGCGCUGGGGGCAGGGGUGUGCCCGCAGCUCCCGCCCCGGCCGGCCUGGCGGGAGCGCUGAGUCAGCAGUCCUUUCCCAGCACCCGCGCGGCUUCCUCCCACAGCUCCCUUUGACCAUAACGCGUGCACACGGACCCUCACACUAUGGGGAUCAUGGAUAGCCUCGUAGCUCUAUUUAUGAAAAGAAAUGCAAACUCAAAACCGCCUCAGGUAAUUAUGAGUGGGAAUACGUAAGAGGAUACGACGCCGCUUGUCCUCUGGGGAGCGCCCUGCUCUAUUUCUGCUCGCGACGUGGUGUAAGUACAGCCCAAACCAAGCCCUAGUACUUGAUGGGAAAACGGGAUGGGGGAGAAAACUGUUGUUCAUCUCUAAAACCCACCCUGGUGCACAUGCAAAAGCGAGAGACCCAACUCAAAAUCAUCUCUCAUCACGGAGAUGGAAGAAUGGUUUCCAGACGGCAUUUGAGAUGCACAGCUUAUCUUUGCAUCAAGGAGCAGGCCUGCUCCAACCACACCCAAAUGAACCACGGACCCACAGAUCUAUGCCUGGGCAGGUUUGGCUUUUACGAUUUGCCUGGGACGUUCCUGGACCUGUCGCUGUGGUUUCUGGGCUUUCCCCGGGCUAGGCCUUGAGAUUACGCUGAUCAACUUGGAACCAGGCAAUGCUUCAGGCGCAUGACAACUUCUAACCCCUUUCUGCCUCAUCGUGCUUUCCCCAGGCUGGCCAGGUGGAACACGAAAUUAUAUCAAAACAUCAUGGUGGCAUCUUCAAAGUGUUCCGUUUUCCUCUUCCUCUGUGACCCUGGAUCUGCAGAAAACCCUGAGUUGUGUAAUUUAAACUAAGUAGGGCUGGGCAUUUCAAAGAGGUUGAGCAUGGAGAGAAUGUAAAGAUUUGGCUGCAAGGAACAGAAAGUUCAAAAUGCCAGUGGCUCCAACAAAUGAGAGCAUACAGAUCUCUCCCAUUAAACCCCGAUGGCGGGACAGCCUGCCACUCACAGACAGCCUUGACAUAGCUGCCAGGAGCUCGAGAUCUUUCAUCUAGCAGCAAGCUUCCCCAUCCCCAGCACGUGGCCUCCAAACUUGUCCAGGAUAGCUGCUUGGAUUCUAGACAUCACAUCCGCUUUCUAGGCAACAAGUAUGAUAGGUGGUGGUGUUUUGUUUUUUGUUCCAAUGCCUCUUUUGAAAAAAAAAAUUUAUUUAUAGAGGAUGAGAUGGUUGGAUGGCAUCACCGACUCAAUGGACGUGAGUUUUGGUAAGCUCCGGGGGUUGGAGAUGGACAGGGAGGCCUGGCGUGCUGCAGUCCAUGGGGUCGCAAAGAGUCGGACUGAGCGACUGAACUGAACUGAACUGAGUGGCUCUGCUGGGUCUUUGCUGCGGUGCACGGGCUGUUCGUUGCUGCACUCAGGCAUUCUUGAGUUGCACAGAGCAAGGGCUACUCUCUCGGUGAGGUGUGCAGGCUUCUCCUGUUGUGGAGUAUGGGCUCUAGGCAGGUGGGUUUCAGGAGUUGUGGUUCAUGGGCUUGGUGGCCCCAUGGCAUGUGGGAUCUUAGUUCCUGGACCAGGGAUCAAACCUGUGUCUCCAAAAUGGGCAGGUGGAUUCCUGACCACUGGACCACCAGGGAAGAUGGUUCUUGGUAAUGGUCCCCAGUGAGCCACUCCCCUGUGUCUGCACAAUAUCAAGGACACUGCCUCUCCUUCCAUCAAGACGUGGGGUCUGUUUCUUCACCCUUGAAUCCAGAUUGACCAAUUCAAUUUGGCGGAAGUGACGUGUGCACACCAGAGACCAGGCCUUAAACCAUCUUGACGCUUCCUCUGUAUCCUUCUUGAGACCCCGAUAUCCAUUUUGUGAUAAAGUCCACCUAGCCUGAGGGAGAGCAAGGCACCUUAAGGAGAAGAACCGGGGAGCCUCAGCAACCAGACAUGACCACAAGGCCAUCUCAAGUCCUACAGCCCAGCUGGGACAUCAGGCCAGACCAGCAUAAGAAAGCUAUCAGAUUGCCAACCCAGAGAAUCACAAACAAUAAUAAACUGUGGUGGUUUAGCCACUAACUCAGAGUGGAUUGGUCCACAACAAGGGAAAACAGUAAGCAGGAGAAGCAGAAAUAAGAAGCACGUGCAGUGCCAUCUCUGAUGGAACUUUCCAUAAGCUUCCAGGCAGCCCUGCUGUUUAUGUCUUUUUGGCCACCAUCAGCUGCAAGGGAGGUCGCACGAACUAAGUCAUUUUAGUCAUGUCCGACUCUUUGUGACCUAUGGAUUUAGCCCCCCAGGCUCCUCUGUCCAUGGGAUUCUCCAGGCAAGAAUACUAGAGUGGGUAGCCAUUCCCUUCUCCAGGGGAUCUUCCUGACCCAGGGAUCGAACCUGUGUCUCUCACGUCUCCUGCGUUGGCAGGUGUGUUCUCCACCACCAGUGCCACCUGGGAAGCAAGGGAGGUCAGGGAGUGUGGUCUUUCUGGGGGCAGCUGGGGGCCCAGCUAUCAGCAGGGGGAUGGGUGACUGGGAAAGAGCUGAUAUCAGGGUAAACAGCCAGCGCUCUGAGACCAAGGAAAGAUUAGGAAACCAAAUGCACAGCCCACCCCGUGACUCUCACAGGUGUUCAAAAGUUAGAAAGGUAACUCACAUUUAUUUUCCUUUUAAACUUAAAUUCUCCCCAGCUCAGAAGAAGAGAAGGGAAAUGGGAACACCUGCCAAAAUACACCAGAUCUGCAAGACAUAGACGGCCUUUAGGGACUCGCCUGGUGGUCCCGUGGAUAAGAGCCACCUUCUAAUGCAGGGGACAUGGGGUCGAUCCCUGAUGGGAGAACUAAGAUCCCACAUGAAAAGGGGCAGCUAAGCCCGCCCCACAGCUAGAGAAACCCACACACUGCAACAAAAACCCAGCACGGCCAAAAACGAAGUCUUAGUAAUUAAAAAAAAAAAAAAUAGGUCUUUAGACUCUACAGCCUGAGGAUUGGAAGAUGGAGGAGCCCGAAUCGCCCUGUAAAGGUUAAGGUUGCUACCGAUGGCAGCAGCUGUUCCAGGUCCAUGAAGGAACUCGGACGGGCACGCAUGUUACACGUAAGAAAUGUCCCUUGUACUCCAGGCCCUUAGACCCGGAAACAGGUCAACAUGUGAUGUUACUGGAAUCUUUCUCUGGUGUUUUAAAGCUUGGAUGGAUUCUCAGAUGUCUUUGGGACUGAAUUUCAUUUCACAAGAUGCAUGAGUGAGCUGAAGAAUUCUAAGGGUGUCCUUGAGCCCUAAGCUCCCGUGACACAGAGGAGUCCGUGUGCUCUGUUUGUGUAGGUUGGCCAUCUGCCCCGCACUGUCCUGGGCCCUUGGUGGGGAAAUAGUUUUAAAAAAGAGAGAGGGAGACACACAUCUGUCCUCAGAAUACUUAUGACCAACUUAGAAGAGCAAUUUCUGGGACUUCCCUGGUGGUCCAGUGGCUAAGACUCUGCCCUCCCAGUGCAGGGGCCUGGGUUCCAUCACUGGCUGGGGAACUGGAUCCCACAUGCCCCAGCUAAAGACCCCACGUGCCUUAACUAAGACCUAGUGCAGUCAAAUAAAUACAUUUUAAAAAAAAGACAAGUGAUUUCUGUGGUCUCUCAGCACCAAACCCCGAAGAAGGUCCUCAGGUGCCAGAGCUGUCCCCAGUUCUCCUGUACGUGAUGGGAGGGCCUCUCCUUACAAGAAAUGUCUGCCUCUGCACAGGCCUUGCUCACUCUAAAAGCUGGUAGAACCCCUGGCGUACUCGGCACCCCAGCCUCGGGGGACGUGGGGGCCUUCCAGGAGGUACCGCUUGUACGCUCUUCAGAGAACCAAGGACCAGAUUCUCGCCUUCCAUGUGUGCACUUACCUAAAGUGGUUGGAGUGAGAAGGUGCCGGAGUUUGCGAAAGCUCUUCCCAGACUUUAUAUUUUUUAAAAACAGGUGUACCCCUCAGCUCUUGUACAUCUUCCCCAGGCUCACUAUCCUGUGAUGGG